GUGGCGCACGGGUGCGUAACGCGUGGGAAUCUGCCCCUUGGUUCGGAAUAACAGUUAGAAAUGACUGCUAAUACCGGAUGAUGACUUCGGUCCAAAGAUUUAUCGCCAAGGGAUGAGCCCGCGUAGGAUUAGGUAGUUGGUGGGGUAAAGGCCUACCAAGCCGACGAUCCUUAGCUGGUCUGAGAGGAUGAUCAGCCACACUGGGACUGAGACACGGCCCAGACUCCUACGGGAGGCAGCAGUGGGGAAUAUUGGACAAUGGGCGCAAGCCUGAUCCAGCAAUGCCGCGUGAGUGAUGAAGGCCUUCGGGUCGUAAAGCUCUUUUACCAGGGAUGAUAAUGACAGUACCUGGAGAAUAAGCUCCGGCUAACUCCGUGCCAGCAGCCGCGGUAAUACGGAGGGAGCUAGCGUUGUUCGGAAUUACUGGGCGUAAAGCGCACGUAGGCGGUUACUCAAGUCAGAGGUGAAAGCCCGGGGCUCAACCCCGGAACAGCCUUUGAAACUAGGUGACUGGAAUCUUGGAGAGGCGAGUGGAAUUCCGAGUGUAGAGGUGAAAUUCGUAUAUAUUCGGAAGAACACCAAUGGCGAAGGCGACUCGCUGGACAAGUAUUGACGCUGAGGUGCGAAAGCGUGGGGAGCAAACAG
rnacentral:rRNA from 1 species